rnacentral:snRNA from 1 species
GGAUGUGAGGGCGAUCUGGCUGCGACAUCUGUCACCCCAUUGAUCGCCAGGGUUGAUUCGGCUGAUCUGGCUGGCUAGGCGGGUGUCCCCUUCCUCCCUCACCGCUCCAUGUGCGUCCCUCCCAAAGCUGCGCGCUCGGUCGAAGAGGACGACCUUCCCCGAUAGAGGAGAGGACCGUUCUUCGGUCAAGGGUAUACGAGUAGCUGCACUCCCCUGCUAGAACCUCCAAACAAGCUCUCAAGAAGCAGCUAAAAGAAAAAUUAACAAUCUCAUUUACAACUGUACCAAAAAUAAUAAAAUAC